GCUAAUUUUAUUUCAUUUUUUCACUAUUUGCACCCUUCUUUCUUUGCAUCGUAAAUACAAAAUAUUGACAACUAUUUAUGUAAAAUACUGCUCUUUUUGAGUCAGGAAAUCUGCUCCCUAUGAGGAAAGCCAUAAAGUUGCUGUCAGUGCUGUCGCUCCAGUUGCGACUGUCCAGCGGUUGUAAGACACUGCAUCUGGCUCUACUUAUCUUUUUAGUAGAUUACACUAAAGUGAAUCCUUAAGGCUAAACCCUCUAAUUUACUGAAACACAUGCACAUAAAAUUACAGCUGUCUCGCAAAAGCUUUCAUUGAUUUGAACAGAGCUGGGAUUCAUUUAAGUGGUUAUAAAACUUAGAUAAGCAAACUUCUUUCAAAACCAGCAGGAAAAAAAAAAACGCAACAGCAAAAUACCAAAACCCAAACACCCCCAACCUGCCAAACAGAGCUAAUUACUGGUUUAUUGAUUGGCACCUUAUUCUUCACCUCUGUGUCCGCUGACACCAUUUCUCCUGCGUUCCUUGGCUCCAUGUGCACGUUGGUCCCACACAGAGGGAAGAAUUUGGCAGGAAAAUAGGGCGUUUGUUGAGGUAAAAACACAGUUUUGCUCUCAAAAGCAAAUACGUGUAUUGUGUAAUGUUCAUCUCUCUGAAAGUCAACUGCCUAAAAUUUGGACAUCUGAAGGCAAGGCAGUCCCAGAUUGUCUGCUAAGGACAAAGAGAACCUAUAGAAAAAGAAAGAUGAUUAUUUUCAGGCAUCUUAAAUCAUCUAAAGCUGUAGGACGUACCGUACCCUUCUGUGCACCUCUGGGGACCAAUGUAAAACACUGCGGAGAUGGGGAGUGAGUUUCCUGUAGAGACUCAGACAGAUGUGCCCAGCUGUCCUCCCAGGGCUGUUUCAUAGUGCCGGCCUCACCCUGUUGCGUUGCCCAGCUCAGGGCAUUCAUUGCACCUCUGAAGUUGGUUACAUGACAGUAAUUUCAUUACUGUAAGACAGCUUGGGGUGUUUCAAAACAGCCCUUAGGGCUUUGCUCUGAACUUUGUUGUCUGCAUCAGAAGUGUUUGAGAAAGCCACUGAAAUCGCAGAGAGAAAAUGCAUCUAUUGGUUUUCUACAGAGAUGGUAACGUGUUGGCAGAAGGUGGUGCUGUUACCUGAUGUUGCCGCAGAUAACUGCCAUGUCAUGGAACAAAACCCAUGACUUGAAAAAAGGUAUUUUCUUCCCACAGCCAUAGGUGUGCUACAUAAAUAGAUACAGAUGAGGUUUCCCAGUCCCUGAGAUAUAAUGAAGUGUUCUUCGUUAGAAGUCAGGCACCCGGGCCAACAUUUCUUCCAACAGAAAGCAGGAUAUUGGGUGAAUAGUGCUCACAGAGAAAUAAUUGCCACUGCAUGAUGGCUUUCCAAUGGGGUGGCCGAUUUCACCCAGAAGCACAGGGUCCCAUGGGCUGGGUGUCAUAACAGCAGAAAGCAAAAGAUGUGUGAUAUAAGGGAUGGCUGGAAGUUCCAGAAUGCCUUUUGAGAGCCGUAUGCCUUCACACCCAGAGGUCAGGAGAGAACCCAGAGGGAGGUUUGGUUUGGAAAAAGCUCUUCUGAUUUCUAUCUUCUGCGAGCUUAACGCGGUCAGGUGGCACGUUGUGCUGGGUUGGGUGUAUGGAGCAAUUCACAUGUGUGGCACACAUCACUUCGGGGCUCUUCAGAAACAUCUCACAUCCUAUUGACAAGGGGACAAUCUGUAGCUAAUGAUACACUGAUAACGAGGCUCAUUCUGAGCCUGUAGAAUACAUACAGAUUGUAUUUGCAGGCUUUGUGUUAUCAUCAUAAAAGCCAGAAACUUCUCUUGUGUUUAAUGAAAGAUGAAUGAUUUUUGCCUAUUUCUGUGCCUGUAGAAAGCCCAGUGGAGGUUGUGGUUAUGAUUUAUGGCAUUGGAGCAGAACGUGUGUGCAAAUAGAAAUCAUUGUGUUGUUUCCUAUAAUUCAGUGUUGAUUCCUAUAACUCAUGUUAACUAAGGGAUUAGAAGUUGUGUCAAUUCAAAGCUUUAUCUAUUUCUGGGUUAGAACUUGGGCUGCUGGCAACCCUGUGCUGUUACCGUACUUGGACCCCACUGAAAGUUCCUGAUUCAGAAAAUGUUUGAACUGGUGAAAGCUCCUGAAUUGUCUGACUGGUGUGUAUCAGCUGAGGUAUCAACCUGUGUUCCAGAGUGCUGUGAUGAGUUUUUAUAUUCAAGAGGUCUGGAGUAUCCAGAUAUACAUCAGUGAGGGGGGGGGGGGGGGGGGGGGGGAAUAGUCCAGGGCAUGCAAUAGAUGCAUCAGGAUUUGUGCUCUCUGCUGAAUUGCCUCAGCAUGGAGAGCAGCAGUGCAUCUGGAAGGGCUGGAAAUAUGUGUGUGUAUGGUACAGAGGGGGCUGUGAUACUGCGGCGUUCACAGCUGGGCAGCAUGGGCUCUGAAUUUCAGAGAUUAAUUUGCACAGUUGCAUUUUGGGCCAUAUUUUCAAACUUGAGAAAGCUCAGCUUGGAUUCUGUUGUUAGAACAGCUUUGUGGAGGGACACAUAGCCCACGAGUACCUGAAUUUAGGUCUGGGGGGUGCCCAGCAAUCAGGAUCAGGCAUUUAGAGACCAGGCACCACGCCAUCCCAUCAGAGGAAAGAGACAGAACUGGUCAGAUGGCGUUUAAGAUACAAUUCAGUCUGAGAGCUAAAGGCUCUUGCAGGAUUUUCAGACCUUGAACAUAAGGCUUCUUUUUUUUUUCCAAUUGGAUUUCACGGUUGAAACGUGGUGUAAGAAUUGCGAGGCUAGGGAGCAAAUAGCUUUUUAUGGAGAUUUGAAUUACAUUUUACACUUGAAAAAUCAGUCUAAGCAGUGAGUGGAAGGGCCUGGCGCCCUGUCUGCGCCCCAGUCCUGCUGCUGGCAGCCUGCACAUGGAGCGCUGGGUGGGGAAGGGAAAGGGAGCGCCGUGGGGGGAUGGCUGCUUCUGCCUCUGAAGCCCUCCAUAGCAGCCACUGGCAGUUUGAGGGGACUGAGUGAUGGAUGGAGUGGUUGGCAGGCCGUGCCCAUGGCAGGGGUUGGAACUGGGUGCUCUUUGGGAUGCCCUCCACCAACCCAGGCUGUUCUGUGAGGUUAGCUUUCAUUUGCCCUCCAACAAGUGAUAGAGGGAGGAGGGGUGGUUGUUGCUUUCUGGAUGGCUGCCAUCAAUGCGGUAAGGUGUCAUUUGCUUGAGCUGAAGUCUCCUCUGCUGACAAAUACCACUGCCACUCCAGUAGAAUAUUUAAGGCCAUUGAUCCUUAGUAUUCAUCUGAUCAUGGUGACAUGGACCGUGUCCUCCUGUCUGUGAAAAUCCAGCAAUUCUCUGCAGGACUGCAGGUAGUCCUCAAAGCAUCUGCAGAGCUUCCCAUGGCGUGUGCUGAGAGGUGUAUCUUUGUUUGAUUCUGUGAUUAACAUCGACUGCACAGGUGAGCAAAAUCAGCUGCCAGACAGUUUGUGAAGAGUUCACAAGGUGAACUUCUGGUUAUCCUCUGAGUGUUGGUGGGGAACAGAAAGUGAGUCCGGUGGUGGUGUGAUCUGAGCCUGUAACCGCUGCUACUCGGGUGGGUUCAGCUGGUGCCAUGGGAAGCGGUUAUUUGUCAGCCACAGUCAUCUUUUGUUCACCAUUUUUUUUUUUUUGGUGUGAAUUGCUGAAAAGCAAACUUUUCCCACAACUAAUUGUAUUUGCUAAUUACCUGUGAAAAAGCAAUUAUCUCCCGGUGAUGCAAUUCUUUGGGAAGGCUUUUUUUUUUUAAUUGGUAAAGAGGAGUCCCUUCUAUACAGGUUGUUUUCAGAAAAAAAGCUUUUCAGAUAUUGUAGCUGAUGUAUCACGUUGGACACAUCGGAUUGGGUCGCAUCAGCAGUGUUGCGUUACGUUACAUCACCGAGGUAAUGUGCUGUGACAGAUCUGCAAUGCAAUGUGUCAGCUGCAAAAUAGGGAAAGAUGUGAUUUCCCGAACAAAAUGCUCCUUAAGCUUUAUGGCAUUUUCCCCUCCUCCAAGUAAAGGAAUGGCUGUUUAGGUGUUGGGGUAUUUCUUAAAAGACUCAAUUAUGUUCAGAAGAAUUUGAAGCCGUUUUGUUGUUGCUAUUUCCUCUCUCAGUGGAUAAUUAUCUAAUCUGGAAAGAAAGAUAUCUUUGCUUCUUAUAUUUCCAUGACCACUUUACAAUUUAUCUGUGUCCCCAAACAUUCAGAAAACUGGAAGGCAGUUUCUAGGGGGAGGAAUUGAGCUGACACGGUGAGGCAUACAGGAGGAGACCUGGCUGCCGUCCUGCUGGGAUGCCAGAGCAGGGGAGGGGGAAUGGAUGCACUUCAGCUGUAGCUUUGGAACUAGAGAGGACAGAGCAGCAGAAACAAAGGAGGUACACUUAAAACUGUUCGGCUCUUUAGGAAGGUGGGAGCAAUGGAAUCCAUGUGAAAACAAAAAUCCAAAUAUUUUGGGCACGACUUCGCCCUCUACAUUGUCAGAUACAAAGGGUAGUGUUGCUUUCUUUACUUUCUGUUUUAUUUAAAUCAUCCUUGGUGAUGAGCUACUCAGAGUUGUUCGAUAUUAACGUCCCCUCAGUCAUGCAUUGCGCUGCAGUCAAACCGAACCAUUAUACGGACAGUUUGUGAACAGGGAAGUGCUGUGCGCUGAUGGUGAAGAUACCGUCACCGAGCUGAGGAGGUUAACAGCCCCAAAUCGCUUUGAUAUUUGUACAUACUCAGAAGGGAUUGAGAUGUUUGCUCUCAUUUUAGUGAGCUCUUGUGAUUCAGUACAUUUGGCACUUCAGGGUUCAGAAUAGCCACUUGUUUCCUACAAAGCAAUGCCCUCAACUGCGUUACUAUUUGGUUGCUCGUUAUGGUCCCAUUUAGAUCUUUCUAUUGCUGUGCAAAUAUGCCUUCGUUUCACAGUAACUUGCCUAAUGCUGCUUUGUUUGGCAUUCUUUGUUGCAAGGAUCAGGGUUCUGGUGCACUCAGAAAGAAACCAGCUAAGUAAAUCUGUAAUAGCAUCGCUGUUUAAACAGCGCCUUGGAUCACUGCAAGUAAAAUUAGAAACGUUGGUUAUGUACCUAUGGAUGCCUUUCAUUUUCAGUUCAAUAGUUUUCUUACAAAGGGCAGCAGUUGCGUGGGAAACAUUUACUUACCGUUUUUUGCUUGCUUUGAUUUAGCACUUAAGGACAAUACCGAGAUUUUACAGCCUGUCCUGAGUGAGGUGAAGUGCAUAAUUGCUGUGCCCUGGGAACAGCCUGGGAAAUGAAUGAUGGGUGGGCAAUUGCUAAUUUUUCCCUGCCAACCUCCACUUCUGCUCGCUCUAAGCAGGUGUUAAGAACGCUAAGAACAAAGGUAUUAAAAAGGUAUUGAGGCGCCUCAAAUUCAAACAUUCUUACAUUUCUUUCAGCAAUAAGCAAAAUAGGCCUCCCAUGUUCCUUGAAAAUGAGAGCUGUAUGUCAGUUCACCUUCAGACCUCUGCAAAAAGUGUUAUGUGCCCUAUUGUACUCACCAGUUACUCCAGCCAUGCUGUUAACCCAGACCCCAUUUCUUCAGUCCACCCCAGGCUCCAGACCCUCCGUGUCUUGGCAGUACGGGGCCAUUCCCACCCCGCACUGAUGUCUGGUUGGAGGAUACCUUGUCACAGCCAGGCUCCACAGAUGCCUUUGUAGUCUGAUGUGAAAUGCAUCCCAUGCUCUCUACCAGCUGCAUGGGAAGCCCCCCGAGACGAGGCCAGAAGUGGAUGUUUCCAGUCUGGCAGCCAGCAUGCACAUGUAAACCAUGCUUUAAAUGAAGGGGCAGUCUUGGUGCUUCUGCCACUUGUUUCCAUCAAAACACUGAUGGAAACAAAUAUUAUUAUGUACAUUGUGCUGUUCUUUUAUUGAUCUGAGCAAUCUUUAAGCCAACUAUUAACCUUGCUCUCUAUAUACAGGCUGGUAUUAGCUGUCACUAACCCUUAUUCUGCAUUCUGAACCCCUACUCUAAGCCUUUUCUUUAAACCUGUUAUUAAGUCUGCCUUUCAUGUCUAAACCUGGUGCAGUAGUGCAAUUAAUUGCUUUACUUAACAUGCAAGGUUAUAAGUGAUCUCUGUGAUUCCACUGACGUUAAAGAAAUAAAUGGAGCUAAACUGAUUCUCAUUGCAAGGUGAUCUUUACACAGUCUUUGGUUGGUGGAACCAGCAGUAGAUGUGUAUUGCAGAAUUAAUGUUAAGAGUUGCAACUGCCAUUGCUACACAACGGCAGGAUACAGAAGGAUCUGCACAAGUCUUGUGCUUCGUUUUAUACUUUGAAAGAACUCCCUCAGUCCCACAGCCAGCAGCUCCUUUUGCGCUCUUCUUUUCCUUCUGGUUAUAAACACAGUGUCUGCUUUUCCUGUUGUGUACUGGAACGUAGAAAAGUUUCCAGCGACUGCUCACAAUGAGCAAGAGGUACUUUUCCUACUGCAGUGGGAAGAGUACCACAGUUGUUUAGUUCUGGGGUCUCAGCCUUUUCUGCUGAUGAAUUCAUAGAGGAACAUGUGUUCGGAUGUUUUGUUGGCUCAAAUCAGGCUUGUCUCACGCUGAGACUGAGAGAAGUCAUGCGAUGGCUUGGGAGUAGAAGUAGGGAACAUGGUGAUACUUGUUGGUAAGUGCCUGAUGCAGUAGCAUCCCUGCCCAGAAAGGCAUUGCUCUGUGAAAGCAAAGCAGGUAAAGAAGGAAGGCAGGUAGUUCUGUUCUUUGCUCAGCGAGUGGUAAAAUUGCACACGAUUUUUAGAAAAGACCCGCAGUGACCCAGGAAAGCAGCUGACUAACAAACAAGUGAGGUUUCUGCAGGAGCUUUAGGGGUGAAGGUAAGGUUCGCUUCUGGCUAGAUAUAUAGAUGUGAUCAAUAGGUAUGCCAGAACAGAGCAGAGAGGUUCAAAAAGCUUGGGGAUGAGGCUGAAUUCCAGGGUUUGGGGGCACAUGCCACAUCCAAGUGAAGCUUGUAAUAGCAAUGCCAAGAGCAGGAUGGAAACGCACUCCAUCUACUACUUCAGGAAGAUGGUGUUCUUUUGCAGUUCUGCAAUAGGCACACAGGAAAGCAGCAGAAGACUCCAGCAGACAGAAUAGCUGCUGAUGAAGCUGCAAGAAACCACCUUUAGAGAAGCGAGACUGAGAUGAGCAAAGAAACGUCCCUAGGUGGGGAAAAGAGGAUGAAGAGAUUAGAGAAAAUGGAAAGUGUCCACCAGGGUUGGAAAUACUAACGUGAAGAACAGAGCACAGCAGUGCUCUCUCCUCGGAGAGGUCGCUGUAGAUUUGCAUUGCUAAUUUGCUUGCUUGAAAGUUCUCCCUGGCGUCUAGGGAGGAGAGGCAGAUGUAUUCUCGCAGGGCAAGGCAAUAAGCGUUUGUGUAAUUUUACCUCUGCGUCCUGAGCUGCGGAGGUACUGGGGGUGAAACCGUAGGGCUCCUAAACAGAAAACACCCAACUUAACUGCAAAGAGAGCUCGUUUCCAACCAUUGUAGCUUCGUUAAGUGGCACAUCAGUAGGAGGGCAAAAUAACAGUUGCUUUAGGCCCAGAGAAGCUUUUGCGUUGCUGCUACCCCAAUUAUUCCUUUUUUACACGUGCUCAGCAAUCUCUUGCUACUGUAAUUACAGCGCCAAACACUGCAGCUAUUAGAUACAGUCACUAGACUUUUAACAAGCCAUCAUUACUUGCACUCAGAAUCUUACAGUUUAAAAACAAUGUCUUUGAGAACAGUGUAACCUAUUUCUCCUUUACAAUAACUGCACAGACUUGUGCAUGGACGUGCUGCUGGUUGCAGCCAUGAGCUUUGCUAAGGAGCAGCAAAGAAGCCAGGCAUAGAGCUGUAGAAUUAUGAUCCUGACUCAUAUAUUCUGGUGAAGUUGUUAAUAACAUCUCAACAUUGAGAAGAUAAUUGCCAAAUAAGAGAGCAGUAAAUAUCUGCAGCCCUUGCGGUCUUAUGUUGAUGUCAGAACAGUGAUGUAUCGUCUGUUUGGAAACCCAGAGAAGUGAGGGAGGCAGGUGGACAGGAUCUGACUUUUCCCAGCCCCCCUCUGGCCAUUUCUUUCCUGUGCUCUUUGCUCUCGAAGUACCGCUGAAUACUAAAAAGAGGCGGUGUUGUGCACAGCCGGGAGAGGAGGAGUGCGGAGGGCAGGGUGACCUGCUGAGCCCAUGGCUUUCUGUGCUAGCCACAGGUGGUCAGGCAGAGCAGGCAUUUAAAAACUCAUCCAUCUCUUGUCUUACUGUCUUGGAAUUUACAUAAUUAAAAGUGAAUUGCUUGCUGUAUUUUAAUAUAUGCAGUGAAAAUGCAUGAAAAGCUGAAGAAUUACAGCAAUCCAGUAAUUCAUGUCAUGUUCCAUUCAGAAUUACAGCUUUCCAGCGCCAGCUCAAACACCGAGGAAUCCCUGCCACCAUAAAGCUAUAAUUGCUGAAUUAAUAACAGCGGGUUCUGGAGAGUGACUGCACAGACUCUCUGACCCAGGCACCACAAUGUGCAGCAGUGGAGGCUUCAGCUGCCUUCAGUGAAGCUCCUGAGUUUUCACCUCCCAGCUUGUCGGUGCUGGCUCAGUGCUUGCAGUGAAUCCUUUCCUCCUAUCUGUCAGCGAUGCACACUAGUAGGGUGGAUUCCAAUUGCACGCAAAUAAAUAGCAUGCAGCAUCUGAACUGCUGCUGGGAGGCUCUGUGGUGGCCCUCAACAGCCUUCAGCUGUGGCAAUGCUGUGACCCGUCACUGUCAGUAGAUGAUAUCAAAUACAAACCUACCUGCGGCUUAGCUCUGCUCCUCUCCCAUCUACAGGUAAUGGGCCCUUCCAUUUUGUGCGCACUGACUGAGUGAAGGCUGGGCCAUUGCCCCUUUGCUUUGAAGUCCACUGCAUUUGUGAUUUUUCUUUGAUCAUCGCUGUGGAAAAGCCUGAAAUGUUUUUCUCAGCAGUUUGUAUGCACACAAGCAUGAGAGCUGAGAACCUCAGUCAAGGUGAAACUUCUGAACUUAUCUUGAUUUUGUUAACAUUAAAUUAAUAUUAAGUAGGACCAAGUUAUGUUUUGCCUUGAGACUGAGGAGGCAACAAUACUGUUCUACUACUAUCCAUG
ensembl:lncRNA